rnacentral:ncRNA from 2 species
UUCCGGGCCGUCGCUAUAGGUUCCCCGAUCAUCAUCGGGGUUAAACGGGAAGCCGGUGCGCCUGGUCCGAGCUGGACCGAAUACUCGGGCAAUGCCGGCACUGCCCCCGCAACGGUAGACGGGUCAUGAGGGACGGCGAAGUUCCACUGUGUCGAUUGGGCAUGGGAAGGGGCCGUUCCGGGAAGAACUCGGGUCUUCCACCCGCGAGUCCGGAGACCGGCCUGUGGCGCUAUCCCGGU